ACCUUAAUCAGCAUCAGUGUUAAGAGAACAGUCUGGAAAGGCUGGCCACAGCAGGUGAUAGCCCUGUAUCUGAAAGCACUGGUGUUGUGAGUCCGAUGAGUAAGGCGGGACACGUGUUAUCCUGUCUGAAUACGGGGGGACCAUCCUCCAAGGCUAAAUACUCCUGACUGACCGAUAGUGAACCAGUACCGUGAGGGAAAGGCGAAAAGAACCCCGGCGAGGGGAGUGAAAAAGAACCUGAAACCGUGUACGUACAAGCAGUGGGAGCACCUUUAUGGUGUGACUGCGUACCUUUUGUAUAAUGGGUCAGCGACUUAU
rnacentral:rRNA from 1 species